rnacentral:ribozyme from 1 species
UUUUUUUUUUUUUUUUUUUUUUUUUUUCGACCACCUGUGACUGGCUGGGGGAUAAUAAUA